UUCAAAGACAGUCUUGAGAGAGUAAUGUGUUAUUGAGAUCACCUGGGCGCUAUGCUUGCCUGAACCCAGUUAAGGCCUUUAUAUAAACCCUUAAAGUGGUAGCUGGCUGGUUGGUUGGUGUAGGGAUUUCUGCUCAGCUUGCGGCCUCUCGGGACGAGCCUGCUGGGGAAAGUUUGCCUCCCAGCCUAGAAAUUUUUUCAGCACUCGAUAUGUCUUGCGGUGGCCUGAGAGAGUUUCGCUUCAUUAAAUGUGAGAAGUCGCAACUCAAGCUAAAUCUCGAGAGAUAUUAAAUGUUGAACGUAUGCAAUUACGCCAAAUGAUGCUCCCGACUUGAACAGCCCAAGCUCGUUUUUAAAACUGUUAACUCAAUUUCUUGCCCAUGUUUCCUCUGUCUUCCCGUCCCCUUCCCCUAGCCCACCAUGCCCUCCCUUACCAACAGCAUUUGAGAUCCCAGCCAGGGUUCUGGCCAGGGACUGCUGGCUGUUCUUCACGUCGCCUUGACGAUUCCCACAGGUUUUGAGAAUCAAACCCUGCCUCCGUCGUUCAAAGCCGCCUUGCCUGGCUACAUUUUAAUUAAUUCCGUAUGGUACAAUGAUGAUAAUUUGGCCCAAAAUAAAAGUGAGCCUGCGUUAAUGCUGUUA